UCGAGACGCGCGGGAGGUGCUCCGUGGGACGAAGAAGAAGAAGGCGGCGCUCAGUCAUCUCAGCUGUCUUCAUUGUGGAACUACCUGCCGAACUCGGUGGACAUCUUUUCAUCCGCAUUGAUUUUGUGUUUCCAGAAAAAAAAUGACCGAACAAUCCGCAAUGUCCGGCAUGUCCUCGAUGUCGGGGAUGUCGGGGAUGUCCGGCAUGUCCGGGAUGUCCGGUGGCGAUGCCAUCGGCGCAGACGAGGAGCAGAGUAAGUGUUAUUCACAUACUACGAAAAACUCGUCAGAGACCGAUAACGCGAGCCGUUUUCACGCUGUUCGGGGACAUCUAUUAUUCGAUACCUCACACCGGGAUGCAACUGGGAGCAUUAUAUACGAAACCUUGUAACGUAUGGUCCAGCCGUUAGCCUUUUGAUAGCAACACAGGGGAUUGGGCGCCACUGGGCUUAUCUGCUCCUGCAUAGCUUCGAUACAACUUGGACGAUUCGGCUUAGCAAGCGGAUUCCCUGUGCCAUGAAAGGUUCACCGCACAAAUGUUGCUCGCUCGAUGCUUUUGUUUGACCUUUUACCCCCCCGUGUUGUCACGUGGGAACCAUGAGGCCGAGGACGAUAGCUAUGUGGGGAGAGGUAAACAUUGCUUAGUACCGGCGCACGUCACAGGAACCCCAGGUGAUCGAAAUUCCCCUACCCCUAACCCUACCCCUAUCCCAGAGGCACGUGCGGUCGGUGCCCACACAAAAAAGUCCGAGCUUACGCGUAGAUCCGUGAUGUGUGACUUGAACUUACACAAGCAGGACUAACAUUCUCUUUUCUAUUGUCUAGAUAAGAAGUGAGUAUUUAAAUGUUUCGAUUAUUAUUAUUAUUUAGACAUACAGUCAAACUCCUUUACAACGAAACUCAGGGGACAGCAAAAAAAAAAAAAAAAAUGCAGUAAAGGUAUUUUCGUUAAAAAGGUGUUCGCUAUAAAGGAGUUUGACUGUACUGCCAGCCCCCGGUUGGCGCCCAGGCAGGAGCGGACAACAGUGCACAAUCCAAGUAUAGUAGUGGAACAAAAAGCGCGGCACGGCACAAUCGGUUGUCGGUUCAUUCAAUGCACGCACAAAGGUGUCAGCAGUGUCCCUCCUAGUCCCUCCAGUGUCCGCAUGUGUCGAAAGAUGG